GAAGCCCAUGAGCACCGGGUUGCCUGGGCGCUGGGUCACAUCCCACUGCAUGCCGCCGCUCUGAUAAAGAAACAGGGCGUAGGACCUGCUGCCGUCUGUGGAGAGGAUGGCCUGGGAGCCCAGGCUCUGACAGCAGUCACGCUUGCCCACGUUCACACCUUUGUCUCUCCUUGCUGGCUGCUGGGAGAUCCUGAAUGCUGGACUUUGAAAGGCUCACCUGGUAAAAUAUGGUCCCCUGGCCACUGGAAAAAUCAGCAUCGUCCCAGAAUGGAGCCACCAUGGCCACAGGGUCCCUGCCUGUGAAGCCUCUAAGGGGAGGAUUGGGGUAGGAGAAAAUCUGGUACUCUGACUCCGGGAAAAUGAUCUGGCCAUUAUCUGUGAACUGGGAACACAGAAGUUCUGGACACUCCUCUGUUUUAAGUCCUUCCUGACAAGCCCUCCCUGUUGGCCUGGAUACCACCGCAUCUCAUAGGGCCCACUCGGCCUCCUGGAAAUUCACCCAACACCCCACCCACCACGGCACCAUCCAAGUAUAAACCUGGCCGGGUCCUACCUGAUUGUAUCACAUGACGGCCUCAUUCUCAACAUUCUUCACCUGGUUUCCACACCCCCAAGUGUCUUGGGGGUCUCCUCCCCAUGCAAUACUGGGACUCCUUUUCAUGUCUACACUUUUUUUUUUUUUUUCAUGUCUACACUUUUAUUCCAGUUCUUCAAGCCCUCUUGCCUCCUUGGGAUGCUUCUCCUUCUCCAGCUCCUAUUCAUUCUUUCCAGGAAGCCGCCUCUUCGCCUUGAGCAUACCCCGACCUCCCCUGGGACCUUCCAUUGUGUCUAAUACCCUGCAUUUAUUCCUCUAAUCGCACCUAUCAAGGCAGCAGGUCCGUCUCUUACUAAACAGUACCGUGGUCACUUCUCUCCACCUCCCAGCCUGGUGCCAUGUACAGAGCCAGCCCUCCGCACCCAACUCUGAUGCUGUCCCAUAGCCCACUGUGGGAGUUGACGACCCGAGAGAGUCUAUGAGCAGGCGGGCUGAGACGAGUCUUCAGUUCCAUCUCCCCUCUAAAGGGGGUAGGGGAGCAGCUGGACUACCGAUGGCCCAGAGGAGGCAGCACACAUACCCACAGAACCAGCUCCCCCUGCUCCCCCAAAAGAGCCCUCACUGGUAGAUCUAAUCGAGCUGCCAAAACUACAGCAUCCACAUCUAGCUCAGAUCUCUAUAUCCCAGAGUGGAGGGACCCCACCUCUCCAGGGACAUUUACCUUUCUCUGGCUUGAUGGGGACUGGGGCAGCCGUUGAGUGUGCCGUGGAUGCUGCCGGAGGGAGAGUAGUGAGCGUCCGCGAGGUUGUUGAAGAUAGUGAUGUUGUUGUGCUACUCUGGCUGCCUAUCGCCAGGGAAGUUACUGUGGUUCCUGGGCAUAUAGGAGAGAAGAUU